CGAUUUGGCUGCUAUUUAUAAUAUAUACUGAACAAUAUUAACAAAAAUUGUUCAAUGGAAAUUUGAGUAACGUUACGCCAGGUAACGUCACGUCAGAUAUUUCAGCUGAUUAAACAUAAAGCAGAAAAGAUUUCUACAUUUAAAAACUUGGAAAAUUAGCCUUAAACAUUUCCAUUAUUACUACAAAAACUUUUAUACAAAUAGUCUUGCCCAAUUCGCAGAGUUUUGCAAUUUCGUAAUCGAAGUCAAAAUCCACCUCACGCCAGCGCGUAUGUUAACUAAUAUCUUUAAAUCGCUACUACCAAAAGUUGUAAUUUUUUUACUGAAUAAGGGGCCAUUUAAUUGCUAUGCAAAUCU